UACGGGGGGGGCAAGCGUUGUUCGGAAUUACUGGGCGUAAAGGGCUCGUAGGCGGCCAACUAAGUCAGACGUGAAAUCCCUCGGCUUAACCGGGGAACUGCGUCUGAUACUGGAUGGCUUGAGUUUGGGAGAGGGAUGCGGAAUUCCAGGUGUAGCAGUGAAAUGCGUAGAUAUCUGGAGGAACACCGGUGGCGAAGGCGGGUCUCUGGGCAACAACUGACGCUGAGGAGCGAAAGCGUGGGGAGCGAACAGGG
rnacentral:rRNA from 1 species